rnacentral:rRNA from 1 species
AACACGUUAAACCACAUCGGGAUCUUGGGUCGGGGGCAGCCCCAACCCUCGAUCCCAUCCCGCGGCGCGUGCGUCUCGACGUGCGCGGUGCGGCUAACGAAACCCCGGCGCGGCAUGCGCCAAGGAAAACUCAUAGAAGCACCCGCCUCCCGUCGCCCCGUUCGCGGUGCGCGGUGGGGGGAGUGGGUGUCUCUCCAAUGUCAUAACGACUCUCGGCAACAGAUAUCUUGGCUCUCGCAUCGAUGAAGAACGUAGCGAAAUGCGAUACUUGGUGUGAAUUGCAGAAUCCCGUGAACCAUCGAGUCUUUGAACGCAAGUUGCGCCCGAAGCCUUUCGGCCGAGGGCACGCCUGCCUGGGCGUCACGCAUCGCGUCGCCCCCCUCCCCAUCCGCUCUGAAACGGGCGAUCGGGUGUCGGGGGUGGAAAUUGGCCCCCCGUGCGCAGCGCCGCGCGGCCGGCCUAAAUGCGAACCCGUGGCGACUCACGUCACGACCAGUGGUGGUUGAAC